AAGUCAACCAAACACAAAAACACAUCAGUUUACAGAAAGCCUGCUCUGAACAGUGGCAGUAAAAUGUGUGUUUACAGUGAGAUGCAUCCCUUGAGGCACCGUUUCUAAGUAAAAUUAAAGUUUGGACAUACUGGUAAAGUCAACCCGUAGUUGUAAUUUGUGCUGUUAUCAAUUAUUUAAGUCCAGGAGUUAAACUGUUGAGAUCCAGGUCCAAGACAGGUUCGGUAUUUACGAUCCAGGUCCAACAAGCAGCUGCCUGGGUUGGUUUCAUCCAGAGGUCUUUAAUUCUGUUCUCUCCAUCCUAAACAUUAAUGGAGCUACAAUUAAGAAAUCUGAAUCUGAAAUGUGGCAAAAUUCAUUUUGUUUAAAAAGAAAAUGACCAAAAAUGUAUGAAACCACUCUUUCAGCAAGUUUACUCUAAGAUGGACACACACAGAAAACUGAAAAGUAACCCAACUUAAAGCUUCAUCUAUCAAAUGAAUACUACAUAGUGAUGCUGAGCAGAAUGGAAAGUGAACUGACUCCAUUAUGAGAAGAAACAAACAGGGAAAAUCAGGAUCACAAAUUUCCCUGAGGAAUUUCCAAAGGGA